GCGGAGUAAAAGGCGGAAGCCGGCUUUGAGGGUGGGGUGGUUUCGGGGGAGAGGAAAAAAGGAGCGGGAUGGAAGCAGUUAGGUGUCCCGAGCACGGGACCUUAUGCUUCCUGAAGACUGGCGUCCGCCAUGGCCCGAAUAAAGGAAAGAGCUUCUACGUGUGCCGGGCGGACACGUGCAGCUUCGUGCGGGCCACCGACAUUCCUGUCUCACAUUGUUUAUUGCAUGAGGACGUUGUGGUAGAGCUUCAGGGUCUGUCUCUACCACAGGGCAAGAAAGAAUACAGAUUGUUCUUCCGGUGCGUCAGAAGUAAGGCCGAGGGGAAGCGGUGGUGUGGAAGCCUCCCAUGGCAGGAUCCUAAUUCCAAAGAACAUUCUGUAACCAAAAAAUAUUCUGUGACCACUGAGUCUCAGCAUGUGUUGGAGCCACUGUAUCCUUCCAGCCAGCAGAGAAACCCGUUCAAGGUGCUUGACAAGAAUCAAGAACCGUCCCUCUGGAAACAGUUCACCCAAGGUGAAGGUGAGGAAAAGACAGCUGAUCGGAAACAACAGGAAAAGGGAGAUCUGCUCUUGGAUCCAAAGAAGGAGCGGAAGCCUGAAUCUAACUGCUGGAGGGAGAAAGAUCUCUCACCUGGCCUGGCGGUAAAGGAAAAGCAACCUGUAGUUCAGGAGAAGCCGCAAGGGGAGAAAACGGUGUUUCGGGGUGAAGCAAAGGAGACUGAAGGGACCCAUGAAAGAAACCUUUUAGAAGUUCAGUCCAGACAGGUCCAUGGGAGUGAGCCGAGAAAGCCGUCUGUGUCUCCUCUGGAGUCAGAUGGGGAGAGUCAUUACGCCCAAAAAGAAUCAGAACCUCUGAGGGAAAAGGAAGCCAGGCCUCGAAUUGUUCACCAUCACGACCCAGUAAGCCAGCCCCUGCUUGGGGGACAACUCAGCAAGGAGCACCCCAAGACCUGGGAGACUAGAGAAACAAGGGCGAAGGACGACCCAAGCGUGCAGACCCUCCAGAGGAGGCCGCCCCAGGGCCAUUGUCCGGCGCCGUCGGAGACCCGCGAUGUGUCUGCUCCGAAGGAACCAGCCCCUCAGCCUGCACCACCGGCCGCAGGGCGUCCCCGGGGGGAGAGGCCAGAUGCUGACACUAGCAGUGACAGCAAGGAAGAUGACGCUGUUUCCGUGUCCUCUAAGCCGGGGAGCCCCUUGCUCUUUGACCUGACUCCAGACUCGCAGAGGAAGGAGAAUCUUAAAUUCCCUGGUCAAAGCGUGCAGAGAAACACUGUCUUGGGUGUUUCCAAGAAGGGAGAACCUUCAGACCCAGCGGCCCAACGUGUGUACCUCACAACACAACUGAAACAGAAGAAGAGCACGUUGGCGUCGGUGAACAUCCAGGCUCUUCCAGACAAGGGUCAGAAGUUGUUCAAGCAAAUUCAGGACUUGGAGGACGCACUCAGUGCCCUGGCCCUCUCCCCAGAGCGAGGCCCUAACGAGACGAGUAACACCCAGGUGCCACAACAGAGUAACUUCACCAAAACGACCACUGACCCUCCCCACAUGGUGCCUCCCCAGCCCCUGCAGGCCCAAGAUCUCCAGCUGGGUCCUCUAGGACUAAAGGCUGCCCGCCAGGAGGCUGCUGGAGGAUCUGGUCAGUGCGGUGGAGGCCCUAUGAACCAAGAUCGCCUCCAUGCGGUAUGGAAGAUCACAAGCGAGGCCAUUGAUGAGCUGCAUCGGUCACUUGAGUCGCGUCCUGGGGAGACAGUGGUGGCAGAGGAUCCAGCUGGGUUGAAGGUCCCUUUGCUGCUGCACCAGAAGCAAGCAUUAGCCUGGUUGCUGUGGCGGGAAAGUCAGAAGCCACGAGGAGGAAUUCUGGCGGAUGAUAUGGGAUUAGGAAAAACCCUGACCAUGAUUGCACUCAUCCUGACCCAGAAGAAUCAGGAGAAAGAUGAAGAAAAGGACAAAAAAACAGCUUUGACUUGGCUUUCUAAAAAUGACUCCUCUGAGUUCGCUUCCCACGGAACACUAAUCAUCUGUCCCGCUUCUCUGAUCCAUCACUGGAAAAAUGAGGUGGAGAAACGUGUGAGCAACAGCAAACUAAGAGUUUAUCUCUAUCAUGGGCCAAACCGGGAUAAACGUGCAAAAGUCCUCUCUACGUAUGACAUUGUGAUCACUACCUACAGCCUUCUAGCCAAGGAGAUUCCCACGAAGAAGCAAGAGGGAGAGGUCCCAGGUGCAAACCUCAGUGUGGAGGGUAUCUCGUCACCCUUGCUUCGAGUAGUCUGGGCUCGAAUCGUAUUGGAUGAAGCUCACAACGUUAAGAAUCCCCGAGUGCAGACUUCCAUAGCCGUGUGCAAGCUCCAAGCCCAAGCCCGCUGGGCUGUCACCGGGACCCCCAUUCAGAACAACUUGCUGGACAUGUAUUCACUGCUGAAAUUUCUCCGUUGUUCUCCGUUUGAUGACUUCAAUCUGUGGCGGAGUCAGGUUGACAAUGGUUCAAAGAAAGGAGGAGAAAGGUUAAAUAUUUUAACAAAGAGCCUUUUGCUGAGGAGAACAAAAGACCAGCUGGACUCCACCGGCAGGCCCUUGGUGGUGCUGCCCCAGCGGAAAUUUCAGUUGCACCAUUUAAAGCUUUCUGAAGAUGAAGAGACAGUUUACAGUGUCCUUUUUGCAAGAUCAAGGUCAGCUCUGCAGUCCUACCUAAAAAGACAUGAAAGAGGGGACAAGGAACCUGGAAGAAGCCCUGAUAACCCGUUCAUGAGAGUGGCCCAGGAGUUCGGGUCCAGUGGGCCCGGUGCCUCCGUGUCCGCAGACUCUCAGACAUCCAGCACCGUCCACAUCCUGUCACAGCUGCUGAGACUCCGCCAGUGCUGCUGUCAUCUUUCUUUACUGAAGUCGGCCCUGGAUCCGACAGAACUGAAGAACGAAGGCCUGGUCCUUUCCCUGGAGGAGCAGCUCAGCGCCUUGACCUUGUCCGAGCUCCGUGAUGCAGAGCCGGCUGCCUCUGUCUCCCUUAACGGCCAGUGCUUCAAGGUGGAGCUUUUUGACGACAUGAGAGAGAGCACCAAGAUUUCAUCUCUGCUGGCAGAAUUGGAGGCAAUCCGAAGAAACUCAGGGUCCCAAAAGAGUGUCAUUGUCUCUCAGUGGACCAGCAUGCUGAAGGUUGUAGCAUUGCACCUUAAGAGGCAUGGACUGACCUAUGCCACCAUCGAUGGCUCUGUCAACCCCAAACAGAGAAUGGACUUGGUAGAGGCAUUUAACAGCGCCAGGGGCCCUCAGGUUAUGCUGAUCUCUCUCUUGGCUGGAGGUGUUGGCCUAAACCUGACUGGAGGAAACCAUCUCUUUCUCCUGGACAUGCACUGGAAUCCGUCACUUGAAGAUCAAGCUUGUGACCGAAUUUAUAGAGUAGGGCAGCAGAAAGAUGUUGUCAUACACAGAUUUGUUUGUGAGGGAACAGUGGAAGAGAAGAUCUUGCAGCUUCAAGAAAGAAAGAAGGAUUUGGCCAAACAGAUUCUAUCAGGAUCCAGAGAAUUUGUCACCAAGCUCACCUUGGCUGACCUCAAAGUCCUUUUUGGCAUCUAACUUCCUGGUUCUAGGUCUCAGAAUGGCACCACUGUUGGUGAGCUCUCCUUGGCAUUCCUUUUCACCAUCAAUCCUGACGCCCGCCUUACACUGAGGAUCAGAGAGACUACAUUUCCUAGUCUUCACUGCAGUUACGCGGGUCCUUAUUACUGAGUUCUAUCUAAGUCAGUGGAAUGUGGAGAAAAGUGAUGUUUCUGCGGAAUUAAGGUCGGGGUCCUCUGAUGAUCUGAAGUCACGCUGGCGGCAGCUGUGACCAUGUACCCAGGAAGCCGUCAGAGCGCCACCGUCCUCAGUAGACUCCUCGGUGCGCUCUGCCCGCCUGCCCAUGUGCAUUCAGACUUCUCCGUAAACUUCCCACAGCAAGACCAGUGGGGACGACCCGGAUGGCCUUUGUGUCCGUGGCCACAGCCUAGGUACCCACCUGCGUGGUACAAAGAGAAAACCACCAUUAGAGGGAAGUCCAGCAGUUCCCAUGGAAAUUAAACUCAUGGCAACAUUCAGAUUCAGGGGACGUGAAAACAUCUAAAUGGAAACCUGGCGAGAGGAAAGAGAUUUCAGAUGCCUCUGUAGUCAGGAGGAUUCUCAAAACUGAUGACAGCAAAUCAACUGAGGUUAGCUCAGUUCUAAGAAUAGUGUUAUUUUAACAGUCUGCUAACUCAAGGAGACCGACUGGUUUGGAUUUUAACUAUAACAAUUAAGCAAAAGGGAAGGGCAGAGUGGUGGAAAUAAAGAAAGUAGAUCCUGAAGUGUUUAUAUGAAAGUUUGCAAAAGCCUAUCUUAAGGCCCACCAUUAGAGUAAGGACACUACAGAAUACUUAAAUAAAAAAUAGAUUUCUUGCUUGAGCUGACCCUCCUGCUCACCCUCCUUCCCUGCCAUCCCCCCCCCAAAACCAGACCUGAUUUAGUUGGUUUAUUCACCCUGCUUCAUUUGGAAUUUCUCUAAGGUUUUAUUUUAUUUUAUCAUUUUUUUCACAAUAAAGCUCCUGUUUAUUACUUAUAGUA